AUGGCAAGGUCCUCACCUCCCGUGGUAGUAGCACUGUGUAACGCCCCAAGACCGGAGCUUCAGAUACCUUCCUUGGGUUCCGAGUUUCGUCGUGUGAUUUGUUUGGUUCUUUGCAUUCAUCAUUGCAUCAUGUUGCAUUUCAUCAUGUCAUCUUGUGCAUUGUGUGUUUUCAUACAUAUUAAGUUGUUGCAUGUUCCAUGCAUGAAUCUUGCUUCAUCACCUUCUGCUUCCCUCUACUUCCUUCUUUUGGCAAGUGUCACGUUCCCUUCUCUUUUAGUGUUCAUCUUUGCCUCAAUAUUCCAACACCAUGCACCUAGCCUCUAUGUCAAAUUUCAUCUCUAUUGA
rnacentral:rRNA from 1 species